GACGAACGCUGGCGGCGUGCCUAAUACAUGCAAGUCGAGCGCAGGAAGCUGACGGAACUCUUCGGAGCGAAGGUAGUGGAAUGAGCGGCGGACGGGUGAGUAACACGUAAGGAACCUGCCUCAAGGAUUGGGAUAACUCCGAGAAAUCGGAGCUAAUACCGGAUAGUUCAACGGACCGCAUGGUCCGCUGAUGAAGGGCGCUCCGGCGUCACCUUGAGAUGGCCUUGCGGUGCAUUAGCUAGUUGGUGGGGUAACGGCCCACCAAGGCGACGAUGCGUGGCCGAGCUGAGAGGGUGAUCGGCCACACUGGGACUGAGACACGGCCAAGACUCCUACGGGAGGCAGCAGUAGGGAAUCUUCCACAAUGGACGAAAGUCUGAUGGAGCAACGCCGCGUGAGUGAUGAAGGUUUUCGGAUCGUAAAACUCUGUUGUAAGGGAAGAACACGUACGAGAGGAAAUGCUCGUACCUUGACGGUACCUUACGAGAAAGCCACGGCUAACUACGUGCCAGCAGCCGCAGUAACAC
rnacentral:rRNA from 1 species